rnacentral:snRNA from 1 species
GUGUUCACUUAGGCGCACAUAUAUUACAAUUGGAACGAUACAGAGAAGAUUAGCAUGGUCCCUGUGCAAGAAUGACACAAAUUUGUGAAGCAUUUCAUAUUUUU